AAAACAGUUGUCCUUGUCACCUUGACGGUAGCACAUGUGUAAAAGAUCGCAAUUUGGAUUGGAUCCUUAAAAAAAAGAGUAGAUAGAAUCCUUGAUGCAGAUGCAGCACUGCUGCAUCAGUAAACUAAUCACCUCAUUGUGAAAUUACCCAAUUAAUGCCAACUCUCACACAAUAGACUUGUGUGUAAAUAAACCAGGUUCGGCAAUUGAGAGCAACUUGAAACAACUACAGCAAUGAAACAGGCAAUUGAAGCGUCACAAUCUGGCCACCUAGCUGGAAAGACUUUUUCACAGCAAACUUGUCAGGUUUAGCUGCAUGAGUAUUGAGUAAACAACAGCUGGCCUUCCCUUGGGAAGAAUUGGGCAAAUACACCAAUUGGGUGCACUGAAAGCGUUUAGCCAACAACCGUCAGCCGCAUUGAAAAGAAAAAUCAUCUGGUUGGCGUCACGGAGUCGUACGGCGUUAGAUUCUACUAUUUGUUCAGCAACGACUGUGCGCCUCUUUGCAUCUUUCAAGAGGUUUCCUUGGCUGCUACAAUACCGGUAGAAGAGAAAUACGUUACCCAACAGAUUUUGAAGCUCAUUGUGUCACCGGAUCCGCAGGUUAUGCCGUCGGACUGGACUUACUGCGUGGAUUCCAUUUCACUCUGUUCGGUACAUGUAUUUGAAAAAUAACCCACUUUCUGUGGUAGGACAGAAUGGCUGACACUAGCAGAUUCCGCGGGCAGAGUUGCAGCACACGGCAGCAUCAGCGACAUACUUAAGGAGAACCGUCCACCCGUGCUGCAAUCCUAUCAAUUCUUAUUUAGUUAUUCUCAGUUAUGAUAAAGUAACUUUGGUUUUCUUUUCGACCAAUUAACUAUUCCGAUUUUUUAUUCAAACUAUUUUAGGAGGCCAUUAGAAAAGGAACUUUCUGUGAUUGUAUUGACUAAGUAAACUAUUGAAAUAUACAGGGGAGCUGAUGAAUCAAAAUAGAACAUACCCAGAGACUAUCUAACCUCAAUGAGUGGUCCCGGUUCUCUCAUUUCCAGCAUUAAGGGAACGAAAGCAACGGAAAAGAGGAAAUAGGAAGACAUAUAUGUUACAGAAACUGUGUUGGCCGGGGCCCCGGGGGUUGCUCGGCUGAGCCAACUUGGGAUCGGUCCAUUCCAGUUUCUUUUAGCAAGAGUGUUUUAAUUUUACUAACAGACAGUCCGGAUUCUUACAAUGUCGAAUUCCGGAGUGAAAUUUUCUGAUUUGAAGAAGUUGCCAACCCACAGUACUUGCUCGCUGAUACGGAGAAGCGAAGCCGGUAUCAAGUUCUCUCGGUGUAUUGGGCAAUUUCAUCACAAUUGAAGUUUUAUUCCUGAUUUAGUAUUUUCUUCAAUUUAUUUCUGUAAUUUUAUUGUGCCGUUACUGGUAUGGGAUUGUAUGAGAUUGUAUUCCAUGUCGAUUGUCAGAUGUUGCAGAGUGCCAGAGUUUUUAGUUUGGUUUUAUAGUUUUUCAAAAACUUCCAUGUGCGGGAAGUAUUUUUAUAUUGUGGGAAGUGCAUGGUAGCGUUGAAAAUUUAUUUUAGUUAAUCAGAUUACAUAACAACGUACGUAAGAUGUGCUCUGAAAGAUAUCUAUACGAAAGUGAAUAUUACCUUUUUUCUAUUUAUUUCAGCCUUUAUUGGCAAAAUUGUUUUUAUCUCACGUGUGAAUAUAUAACGGCUAUGAAUAUA
rnacentral:lncRNA from 1 species